rnacentral:rRNA from 1 species
UUGAACGCUGGCGGCAUGCCUUACACAUGCAAGUCGAACGGCAGCACGGGUGCUUGCACCUGGUGGCGAGUGGCGAACGGGUGAGUAAUACAUCGGAACAUGUCCUGUAGUGGGGGAUAGCCCGGCGAAAGCCGGAUUAAUACCGCAUACGAUCUACGGAUGAAAGCGGGGGACCUUCGGGCCUCGCGCUAUAGGGUUGGCCGAUGGCUGAUUAGCUAGUUGGUGGGGUAAAGGCCUACCAAGGCGACGAUCAGUAGCUGGUCUGAGAGGACGACCAGCCACACUGGGACUGAGACACGGCCCAGACUCCUACGGGAGGCAGCAGUGGGGAAUUUUGGACAAUGGGCGAAAGCCUGAUCCAGCAAUGCCGCGUGUGUGAAGAAGGCCUUCGGGUUGUAAAGCACUUUUGUCCGGAAAGAAAUCCUUGGCUCUAAUACAGUCGGGGGAUGACGGUACCGGAAGAAUAAGCACCGGCUAACUACGUGCCAGCAGCCGCGGUAAUACGUAGGGUGCGAGCGUUAAUCGGAAUUACUGGGCGUAAAGCGUGCGCAGGCGGUUUGCUAAGACCGAUGUGAAAUCCCCGGGCUCAACCUGGGAACUGCAUUGGUGACUGGCAGGCUAGAGUAUGGCAGAGGGGGGUAGAAUUCCACGUGUAGCAGUGAAAUGCGUAGAGAUGUGGAGGAAUACCGAUGGCGAAGGCAGCCCCCUGGGCCAAUACUGACGCUCAUGCACGAAAGCGUGGGGAGCAAACAGGAUUAGAUACCCUGGUAGUCCACGCCCUAAACGAUGUCAACUAGUUGUUGGGGAUUCAUUUCCUUAGUAACGUAGCUAACGCGUGAAGUUGACCGCCUGGGGAGUACGGUCGCAAGAUUAAAACUCAAAGGAAUUGACGGGGACCCGCACAAGCGGUGGAUGAUGUGGAUUAAUUCGAUGCAACGCGAAAAACCUUACCUACCCUUGACAUGGUCGGAAUCCCGCUGAGAGGUGGGAGUGCUCGAAAGAGAACCGGCGCACAGGUGCUGCAUGGCUGUCGUCAGCUCGUGUCGUGAGAUGUUGGGUUAAGUCCCGCAACGAGCGCAACCCUUGUCCUUAGUUGCUACGCAAGAGCACUCUAAGGAGACUGCCGGUGACAAACCGGAGGAAGGUGGGGAUGACGUCAAGUCCUCAUGGCCCUUAUGGGUAGGGCUUCACACGUCAUACAAUGGUCGGAACAGAGGGUUGCCAACCCGCGAGGGGGAGCUAAUCCCAGAAAACCGAUCGUAGUCCGGAUUGCACUCUGCAACUCGAGUGCAUGAAGCUGGAAUCGCUAGUAAUCGCGGAUCACGCAUGCCGCGGUGAAUACGUUCCCGGGUCUUGUACUCACCGCC